rnacentral:rRNA from 1 species
UACGUAGGGGGCAAGCGUUGUCCGGAUUCAUUGGGCGUAAAGAGCUCGUAGGCGGCUUGUCGCGUCGGAUGUGAAAGCCCGGGGCUUAACUUCGGGUCUGCAUUCGAUACGGGCAGGCUAGAGUUCGGUAGGGGAGAUCGGAAUUCCUGGUGUAGCGGUGAAAUGCGCAGAUAUCAGGAGGAACACCGGUGGCGAAGGCGGAUCUCUGGGCCGAUACUGACGCUGAGGAGCGAAAGCGUGGGGAGCAAACAGG